UGAAGACAAGAAGAAUUUCUGCUUCAGAACUUGGCUGCUGAGGGCCAAGUUGCAGGGUUUGCUGGGACGCUCCUGCCACUGUGUUCCAGGAAAUGAUGCUUGUGAACGGCUUUAGGUUUCGGUGAAAACUCUUCUGUCAAAAUGCGUCUCGUCUGCACGAGACACAGAUGCUGCAAAGACGCACCAUGUAAUUCCUGAGUGUGCCUCAUAAAUCCACCAAAUAGCUGUUGCUCUUCCAUCUGAUGGCUCAUCAGCUUGUUGUUUGAGAGAUACAAAAGAGAAAGACUCCUUACUUAAGCAGGUUUGGAAGCACACAAGGAGCAUAAAGGGCAAAAUGCUUCCUUGGGGGAUGUCAGGAAGAGGUGCAAAAAGGAGUUUUAAAACCCUCAAAUGGCAGCUGUUGGUUCUAGGUGCUUUUCUUUCCCAGUCAGCAUCAGCUUUUAUCAUAGUCUUCAGUAUUCCAGGUAGUUGAGUAAAAUCUUCUCAUGAAAGACAGGGAAGUAAAUGUCUUGCCAUCUCAUGUGAAUCUCAUGUGCCACAUUCCACAAAGGAAUUUUACUCAGGUUUUUUAUCUUUUUUCCACCUUUUCUGGAUGUUAGGUCUGCUUCUGUUCUUGUGGUGUAAUAACAAGUAUUGCUACUGAGGUGGAGAGUAAGUGUAAUAAGUUAAAACUGGAUCUGCGUUAAGGCACCGCUGUCAGUUUUUGCUUUAUCCUAUACUAAGAACCAGCUGCAUAGGCAUUGAAUAAGUACUGCAAAACUUAACCUACUCGUGCAGGACUCCUGCUAUGUAACUGAAAGCCUACUCAGAACAAAUUAACUGCUGUGCUGAAAACUUGCGCUUCUCAUUGUAAGCCCUGCAACAUCAGUAUUUUCCCUGCGCUUCAGCUUCUGGAGUCAGGUGAUUUUAAAGCUAUUUUUCUCAACAUAUAUGCACACAAACAUGUAUAUUUAUAUGCUUGCUUUUCUGUACUGGUGGAGAAAGCAAUGAAAAUAUGAUUACUUCCUAAAUUGUCAGAAGUGAGGUGAACAAGAAUUCAGAUGUAUGGAUUUUUUUUAAACAGAAGGGCUGCUUUUAGACAGACCUGAUGAUUUUGUUUUUAGAUCAGAUUUUUGCCCUUUUAACAUUCAGGGUUGGAAAUACUUAGGCUGCAUAUUUUUUCCAAUUACAUCUGUCAUAUACAUAGCAAUCUCUUACACUGGCUUUUGAUCUAGAGCAAUUUAACUGAGAGGAAAAAUCUCCCUUUAAAUGGACUUCAUUUUCUUGAACCCUGGCAGCGUUUAAAAGUGAUCUCCACUAUCUCACUUUGCUUUAUAUUCAGUUCAAUUUGAGGUGUUUAUUCUCAUCCACCCCUUUGUAUUGUUUAUUGUUCCCUUGAACAAAGCAAGACAUAUUUCUUUCUCAGCAGAGGAACAACCUGGGCUUGUUUCCAAGGCAUUUUUGGAGCAAAGUAAGCCAUGGCUGCUUGCAGCAGUGCAGAAGAGACUCUCAGCUACACCCUUAUCAGGAUAGGUUUGUGGUUAUUGACUUAAAGUACAUCAGUGACCUGCUUAAUCAAGACAUUCAAAAGGGAG